GUAGAUGUGACCGAGAUAUUCAACUUGCUCAAUUGGGAAAAGAAGCAGCGCCUUUUCAAACUGGGCUACGUGAUACUUCUUCUCUUCAUGUCCUUGUUUUGGAUGAUUUAUAAUGCACUGGAAGACGAUGAGCAUUCACUGUAGAUCGAGUCAUUGGCCCGUCGAAUGCUGUAAUGUAUUGAAGAAUAGCAGCAUCAGCUGGCUUGUUCUAGCACAUUUUUCUCUUUGUAAUGAUUGUGAAACUUAUAUUUGUUACAGCAAAGAUCUUAAAUUAUUUGAAUGCUUUUGCAUUCACAGGGUUUCCCAUUUACAUUGAUCUUUGAGACCCAUUUUUUCUCCAUUACAAUUUCACAUACUUGAGUGCAAGUGUUCAUUGUUUUUG